UGGUGGAGUGAUUUGUCUGCUUAAUUGCGAUAACGAACGAGACCUUAACCUACUAAAUAGUGGAGCUAGCAUUUGCUGGUUAUCCACUUCUUAGAGGGACUAUCGGUUUCAAGCCGAUGGAAGUUUGAGGCAAUAACA
rnacentral:rRNA from 1 species